UACGGGGGGGGCAAGCGUUGUUCGGAAUUACUGGGCGUAAAGGGCUCGUAGGCGGCCAACUAAGUCAGACGUGAAAUCCCCAGGCUCAACUUGGGAACUGCGUCUGAUACUGGAUGGCUUGAAUCCGGGAGAGGGAUGCAGAAUUCCAGGUGUAGCGGUGAAAUGCGUAGAUAUCUGGAGGAACACCGGUGGCGAAGGCGGCAUCCUGGACCGGCAUUGACGCUGAGGCGCGAAAGCCAGGGGAGCAAGCGGG
rnacentral:rRNA from 1 species